AAGUCGUAACAAGGUUUCCGUAGGUGAACCUGCGGAAGGAUCAUUACUGAGAUAGGGUUCUUUUGAGCCCGACCUCCAACCCUUUGUUUAAACUACUUUGUUGCUUUGGCAGGCCCGCUCUUCGGGGCCGCUGGGGGCGUUCAGUCGCCUCUGGUCAGUGCUUGCCAGUAGCCAAUUUAAAUUCUUUUUAACUAUGUCGUCUGAAUAAUAAUAAUAAAUUUAAUUAAAACUUUCAACAACGGAUCUCUUGGUUCUG
rnacentral:misc_RNA from 1 species